GCAUAUCAAUAAGCGGAGGAAAAGAAACUAACAAGGAUUCCCCUAGUAACUGCGAGUGAAGCGGGAAAAGCUCAAAUUUAAAAUCUGGCGGUCUUUGGCCGUCCGAGUUGUAAUCUAGAGAAGUGUUACCCGCGCCGGACCGUGUACAAGUCUCCUGGAAUGGAGCGUCAUAGAGGGUGAGAAUCCCGUCUUUGACACGGACUACCGGGGCAUUGUGGUGCGCUCUCAAAGAGUCGAGUUGUUUGGGAAUGCAGCUCAAAAUGGGUGGUAAAUUCCAUCUAAAGCUAAAUAUUGGCGAGAGACCGAUAGCGAACAAGUACCGUGAGGGAAAGAUGAAAAGAACUUUGGAAAGAGAGUUAAAAAGUACGUGAAAUUGCUGAAAGGGAAACGCUUGGAGUCAGUCGCGUUGGCCGGAAAUCAACCUUGCUUCUGCUUGGUGUACUUUCUGGUUGACGGGCCAGCAUCAGUUUUGACCGGUGGAAAAAGUUCAAGGGAAUGUGGCAUCUCUCGAUGUGUUAUAGCCCUUGUUCGUAUGCACCGAUUGGGACUGAGGAAUUCAGCACGCCGAAAGGCCGGGUCUUUGACCACGUUCGUGCUUAGGAUGCUGGCAUAAUGGCUUUAAUCGACCCGUCUUGAAACACGGACC
rnacentral:rRNA from 1 species